rnacentral:rRNA from 1 species
UGAAAGUCUUAUUCCAGCAAUGGUCCAUUGCGAGGUGCUGCAUGGUUGUCGUCAGCUCGUGCCGUGAGGUGUCGGCUUAAGUGCCAUAACGAGCGCAACCCUUAUCGUCAGUUACCAUCAAGUAAAGUUGGGGACUCUGGCGAGACUGCCGGCGUAAGCUGUGAGGAAGGUGGGGAUGACGUCAAAUCAGCACGGCCCUUACAUCCGGGGCGACACACGUGUUACAAUGGCACGGACAAAGAGCAGCUACCGGGCGACCGGAUGCUAAUCUCCAAACCGUGUCUCAGUUCGGAUCGGAGUCUGCAACUCGACUCCGUGAAGCUGGAUUCGCUAGUAAUCGCGCAUCAGCCAUGGCGCGGUGAAUACGUUCCCGGGCCUUGUACACACCGCCCGUCAAGCCAUGGGAGUUGGGGGUACCUAAAGUCCGUAACCGCAAGGAUCGGCCUAGGGUAAAACCGAUGACUGGGGCUAAGUCGUAACAAGGUAGCCGUACCGGAAGGUGCGGCUGGAACACCUCCUUU